GAGGAAGCAGUAAGUGUGUAAGUCCUAACACUGGCUAGCUCAGCGAUGUGAAGACCUGAAUGGAAAUUGGGUAGCUGGCAUAGGGCAGGUGAAUGGAAGAGUAGAAUGAGCAGAGAUUUGAAAAGUCUACAAGGGUCAGACUGUACACUAUGUAAGAGCUUUGAGUUUCAUUUGAAAUGUAAUUAGAUCCUUAAUGCUGACUCUAGAAGAAGCUUUAAGCAGAAGAGUAAAAUAGUGUGCAGUAUACAUUUUAAAUGCUCACUAUAUCUCCUAUGCAGAGAGCAGAUUUGUGUGGAGCAAGAAUUAGGAGGCUGUGAGUCAGUUUGGUGGCCAUGGAUGUGGUAGAGGAGAAAUGAAGACAACUGGACUCCAAGACUACCAGCCUAAAAUUCAAGACAGAUGGAUUCAAGAAUGUCAAUGCCUAAGGUAGAAAUUAAAAACCUCUGGGAGUUCUGGAGAGUACAGCCAUUGGACAGACCUUAAAACAAGGAGACAGUAUUGUCUCAAAGGUGAGAAUAUGACAAUUGCUAUGUCAUGCCCAUGAGUAAUCACUGAGUUAAUGCCUCCUUCAAAAAUUCUGCCAGGGAACUUAGUUGUGUGCAGCACGUCUUGUUUGUUCUCAGGUUUGUAGUACUAACAAGGCUUCUUAACAAUUAAUUACACCCCUGUUUUACAAGUGUGAAUGUUUUGAUUUGUGAACUUUCUGGAGAACUUCAGGGAAAUUUAAAUUGCCCUCCAACAACUACCCAGUUCACUGCUCUGCACUAUGCAAAUUUGAUAUUAAAUGAUCAAGUAUGAACCCGAAGCCUCAUGAGGUCAUGGAAUCCCUUGAUUUGGGACCAGGUGUAUAGAGAUGUUCAAUUAUUAAAUAAUUAGUUUGG
ensembl:lincRNA